rnacentral:rRNA from 1 species
CAGUAGCCACGGUAAUACGUAGGGUGCAAGCGUUAAUCGGAAUUACUGGGCGUAAAGCGUGCGCAGGCGGUUAUAUAAGACAGAUGUGAAAUCCCCGGGCUCAACCUGGGAACUGCAUUUGUGACUGUAUAGCUAGAGUACGGCAGAGGGGGAUGGAAUUCCGCGUGUAGCAGUGAAAUGCGUAGAUAUGCGGAGGAACACCGAUGGCGAAGGCAAUCCCCUGGGCCUGUACUGACGCUGAGGUACGAAAGCAUGGGGAGCAAACAGGAUUAGAUACCCCUGUAGUCCCUGUCUCUUAUAC